rnacentral:rRNA from 1 species
CCUACGGGAGGCAGCAGUAAGGAAUAUUGGUCAAUGGAGGCAACUCUGAACCAGCCAUGCCGCGUGCAGGAAGACAGCCCUCUGGGUCGUAAACUGCUUUUAUUCGGGAAUAAACCUUAUUACGUGUAAUAAGCUGAAUGUACCGAAGGAAUAAGGAUCGGCUAACUCCGUGCCAGCAGCCGCGGUAAUACGGAGGAUCCAAGCGUUAUCCGGAUUUAUUGGGUUUAAAGGGUGCGUAGGCGGCUUAUUAAGUCAGGGGUGAAAGACGGUGGCUCAACCAUCGCAGUGCCUUUGAUACUGAUGAGCUUGAAUGAACUAGAGGUAGGCGGAAUGUGACAAGUAGCGGUGAAAUGCAUAGAUAUGUCACAGAACACCGAUUGCGAAGGCAGCUUACUAUGGUUUUAUUGACGCUGAGGCACGAAAGCGUGGGGAUCAAACAGGAUUAGAUACCCUGGUAGUCCACGCCCUAAACGAUGAAUACUCGCUGUUAGCGAUAUACAGUUAGCGGCUAAGCGAAAGCGUUAAGUAUUCCACCUGGGGAGUACGCCCGCAAGGGUGAAACUCAAAGGAAUUGACGG